UACGUAGGGGGCAAGCGUUGUCCGGAAUCAUUGGGCGUAAAGCGCGUGUAGGCGGCUCAGUAAGUCCGCUCUGAAAGCCCGGGGCUUAACCCCGGGAGGCGGGUGGAUACUGCUGAGCUUGAGUCCGGAAGAGGCGAGUGGAAUUCCCGGUGUAGCGGUGAAAUGCGCAGAUAUCGGGAGGAACCCCAGAGGCGAAGGCGGCGCCCUGGCUCGCACCUGACGCUCAGACACGACAGCAUGGGGAGCGAACGGG
rnacentral:rRNA from 1 species